CCGACAAGCGGCGGAGCAUGUGGAUUAAUUCGAUGCAACGCGAAGAACCUUACCUAGGCUUGACAUAUACAGGACGACGGCAGAGAUUGUCGUUUCCCUUGUGGCUUGUAUACAGGUGGUGCAUGGUUGUCGUCAGCUCGUGUCGUGAGAUGUUGGGUUAAGUCCCGCAACGAGCGCAACCCCUGUCUCAUGUUGCCAGCACGUAAUGGUGGGGACUCGUGAGAGACUGCCGGGGUCAACUCGGAGGAAGGUGGGAUGACGUCAAAUCAUCAUGCCCCUUAUGUCUAGGGCUUCACACAUGCUACAAUGGCUAGUACAGAGGGCUGCGAUACCGCGAGGUGGAGCGAAUCCCUUAAAGCUGGUCUCAGUUCGGAUUGGGGUCUGCAACUCGACCCCAUGAAGUCGGAGUCGCUAGUAAUCGCAGAUCAGCAACGCUGCGGUGAAUACGUUCCCGGGCCUU
rnacentral:rRNA from 1 species